rnacentral:lncRNA from 1 species
GGAGAAACCUAGGUCAAAUCCAGUGCCAUGUUGGGUCUAGUUGGUCUUAGUCUUAGCUUGGCCCACACCCUGGUUGUGCAGAGUCUUACAGCCUCAAGCUUCUGCAGCUACUUCAACAGUUUUCCUUUUGCUAAUCAGGUUAAACUGCUGCUGGCAAUUUUCUAUUCUCCUGCAACCACCCUGAAUGACCCCUGUCUCAGGGGGACACAGGCACAGGCCCUUACAUGCUUACUCCUGGAAAGGAUGCAAGAAACCUAUGCUCACUUCUCAUAGCCCAAGGGACAUGCAAGUAAAUCUUAACUGCUGCUCACUCUGGGUCUACACUGCUUUUAUGAGCUGUAACACUUACCGCGAAGGUCUGCAGCUUCACUCCUGAAGCCAGCGAGACCACGAGUCCACCGGGAGGAAGAACAACUCCAGACGUGCCGCCUUAAGAGCUGUAACACUCACUGUGAAGGUCCGCAGCUUCACUCCUGAAGCCAGCGAGACCAUGAGUCCACCGUGAGGAAGAACAACUCCAGACGUGCUGCCUUAAGAGCUGUAACACUCACUGUGAAGGUCCGCAGCUUCACUCCUGAGCCAGCGAGACCACGAACCCACCAGAAGGAAGAAACUCCGAACACAUCCGAACAUCAGAAGGAACAAACUCCAGAUGCGCCACCUUAAGAGCUGUAACACUCACCGCGAGGGUCCGCGGCUUCAUUCUUGAAGUCAGUGAGACCAAGAACCCACCAAUUCCAGACUCACUAAGACAUUACUUUUAGCUCAGCAUUUCUUGGAUGCCCAGGCAAAAGUAUGGAUGCAUAAAAUUAGAUAAUCCCUACAGUCUUAUGGAAUGUGGCUUUUGCUGGCCAAGCCUCUCUCGCUUACCACAGUGCAACUUCAAGAAUUAAUAUAUUCAAAAAAGGCCUGGAAUUUCCAAACAACAUUCUUAUUAAGGAGGACAGCUGGCUGGCUUCCUUCACUUUCAUAUUAAUAAGCCUCAAUCCUUGCUGAUCAUAAACCCGCACCUGAGGAUGAGUGCCAGGAAAUGCAAUGCCUUCUUCCCUCCUGGGUUGCCUCUUUCAGAGAUUUGGGGGGGCAGUGGCAUCCUCAUGCAAGCUGGUCUACUGGUGGCUGCCCCUGUGACCUGCUUCUGAAUGGCCAGGCAGGAAAAGUCUCCCACUGUGUUGCAUUUAAAGAAAAGAAAAAGAUGAAUUAAGUAAAAAGCUCUGCAAACAACUGAGUGUAAUUAUUGGAUAUGUAUAAACUUAUGCAUAUUUUCCUUUUUUUAAUUAUACUUUAAGUUCUAGGGCACAUGUGCACAACGUGCAGGUUAGUUACAUAUGUAUACAUGUGCCAUGUUGGUGUGCUGCACCCAUUAACUCGUCAUUUAACAUUCGGUAUAUCUCCUAAUGCUAUCCCUCCCCCCUCCCCCCACCCCACAACAGGCCCUGGUAUGUGAUGUUCCCCUUCCUGUGUCCAUGUGUUCUCAUUGUUCAAUUCCC